rnacentral:rRNA from 1 species
GGUCAAGUGAAGAAGCGCAUACGGUGGAUGCCUUGGCAGUCAGAGGCGAUGAAAGACGUGGUAGCCUGCGAAAAGCUUCGGGGAGUCGGCAAACAGACUGUGAUCCGGAGAUGUCUGAAUGGGGGAACCCAGCCAUCAUAAGAUGGUUAUCUUGUACUGAAUACAUAGGUGCAAGAGGCGAACCAGGGGAACUGAAACAUCUAAGUACCCUGAGGAAAAGAAAUCAACCGAGAUUCCCUUAGUAGUGGCGAGCGAACGGGGACUAGCCCUUAAGUGGCUUUGAGAUUAGCGGAACGCUCUGGAAAGGGCGGCCAUAGUGGGUGAUAGCCCUGUACGCGAAAAUCUCUUAGUCAUGAAAUCGAGUAGGACGGAGCACGAGAAACUUUGUCUGAAUAUGGGGGGACCAUCCUCCAAGGCUAAAUACUACUGACUGACCGAUAGUGAACUAGUACCGUGAGGGAAAGGCGAAAAGAACCCCGGAGAGGGGAGUGAAAUAGAUCCUGAAACCGUAUGCGUACAAGCAGUGGGAGCCCACUUUGUUGGGUGACUGCGUACCUUUUGUAUAAUGGGUCAGCGACUUAUUUUCAGUGGCGAGCUUAACCGAAUAGGGGAGGCGUAGCGAAAGCGAGUCUUAAUAGGGCGUCUAGUCGCUGGGAAUAGACCCGAAACCGGGCGAUCUAUCCAUGGGCAGGUUGAAGGUUGGGUAACACUAACUGGAGGACCGAACCGACUACCGUUGAAAAGUUAGCGGAUGACCUGUGGAUCGGAGUGAAAGGCUAAUCAAGCUCGGAGAUAGCUGGUUCUCCUCGAAAGCUAUUUAGGUAGCGCCUCAUGUAUCACUGUAGGGGGUAGAGCACUGUUUCGGCUAGGGGGUCAUCCCGACUUACCAAACCGAUGCAAACUCCGAAUACCUACAAGUGCCGAGCAUGGGAGACACACGGCGGGUGCUAACGUCCGUCGUGAAAAGGGAAACAACCCAGACCGUCAGCUAAGGUCCCAAAGUUAUGGUUAAGUGGGAAACGAUGUGGGAAGGCUUAGACAGCUAGGAGGUUGGCUUAGAAGCAGCCACCCUUUAAAGAAAGCGUAAUAGCUCACUAGUCGAGUCGGCCUGCGCGGAAGAUGUAACGGGGCUCAAACCAUACACCGAAGCUACGGGUAUCACUUAGGUGAUGCGGUAGAGGAGCGUUCUGUAAGCCUGUGAAGGUGAGUUGAGAAGCUUGCUGGAGGUAUCAGAAGUGCGAAUGCUGACAUGAGUAACGACAAUGGGUGUGAAAAACACCCACGCCGAAAGACCAAGGUUUCCUGCGCAACGUUAAUCGACGCAGGGUUAGUCGGUCCCUAAGGCGAGGCUGAAAAGCGUAGUCGAUGGAAAACAGGUUAAUAUUCCUGUACUUCUGGUUAUUGCGAUGGAGGGACGGAGAAGGCUAGGCCAGCUUGGCGUUGGUUGUCCAAGUUUAAGGUGGUAGGCUGGAAUCUUAGGUAAAUCCGGGAUUCUAAGGCCGAGAGCUGAUGACGAGUUACCCUUUGGGUGACGAAGUGGUUGAUGCCAUGCUUCCAAGAAAAGCUUCUAAGCUUCAGGUAACCAGGAACCGUACCCCAACCGACACAGGUGGUUGGGUAGAGAAUACCAAGGCGCUUGAGAGAACUCGGGUGAAGGAACUAGGCAAAAUGGCACCGUAACUUCGGGAGAAGGUGCGCCGGUGAGGGUGAAGCACUUGCUGCGUAAGCCCACGCCGGUCGAAGAUACCAGGCCGCUGCGACUGUUUAUUAAAAACACAGCACUCUGCAAACACGAAAGUGGACGUAUAGGGUGUGACGCCUGCCCGGUGCCGGAAGGUUAAUUGAUGGGGUUAGCUAACGCGAAGCUCUUGAUCGAAGCCCCGGUAAACGGCGGCCGUAACUAUAACGGUCCUAAGGUAGCGAAAUUCCUUGUCGGGUAAGUUCCGACCUGCACGAAUGGCGUAACGAUGGCGGCGCUGUCUCCACCCGAGACUCAGUGAAAUUGAAAUCGCUGUGAAGAUGCAGUGUAUCCGCGGCUAGACGGAAAGACCCCGUGAACCUUUACUAUAGCUUUGCACUGGACUUUGAAUUUGCUUGUGUAGGAUAGGUGGGAGGCUUUGAAGCGUGGACGCCAGUUCGCGUGGAGCCAACCUUGAAAUACCACCCUGGCAACUUUGAGGUUCUAACUCAGGUCCGUUAUCCGGAUCGAGGACAGUGUAUGGUGGGUAGUUUGACUGGGGCGGUCUCCUCCUAAAGAGUAACGGAGGAGUACGAAGGUGCGCUCAGACCGGUCGGAAAUCGGUCGUAGAGUAUAAAGGCAAAAGCGCGCUUGACUGCGAGACAGACACGUCGAGCAGGUACGAAAGUAGGUCUUAGUGAUCCGGUGGUUCUGUAUGGAAGGGCCAUCGCUCAACGGAUAAAAGGUACUCCGGGGAUAACAGGCUGAUACCGCCCAAGAGUUCAUAUCGACGGCGGUGUUUGGCACCUCGAUGUCGGCUCAUCACAUCCUGGGGCUGAAGCCGGUCCCAAGGGUAUGGCUGUUCGCCAUUUAAAGUGGUACGCGAGCUGGGUUUAGAACGUCGUGAGACAGUUCGGUCCCUAUCUGCCGUGGACGUUUGAGAUUUGAGAGGGGCUGCUCCUAGUACGAGAGGACCGGAGUGGACGAACCUCUGGUGUUCCGGUUGUCACGCCAGUGGCAUUGCCGGGUAGCUAUGUUCGGAAAAGAUAACCGCUGAAAGCAUCUAAGCGGGAAACUUGCCUCAAGAUGAGAUCUCACUGGGACCUUGAGUCCCCUGAAGGGCCGUCGAAGACUACGACGUUGAUAGGUGGGGUGUGUAAGCGCUGUGAGGCGUUGAGCUAACCCAUACUAAUUGCCCGUGAGGCUUGACCAU